GCACGAAGAAGAAUACCAACCUGUUACAAAAAUCAAGUGAUUUAGAUCAAAAGCUUGCUUAUCAUUUCUUUAAAUAUUCAGUCCUUCAAAAAACAUUUAUACUUUGUAAUGAAGUGGCUAAGUUAAACAGCCAUAUUUGUUCGACCCAUCACCCGAUCACAGAAGAUUUCAAUAACAUGCAAUAAAAUGUUGAUCCUUCAUUUUUCUAUAAAGG
rnacentral:misc_RNA from 1 species